rnacentral:rRNA from 1 species
GAUGAACGCUGGCGGCGUGCCUAAUACAUGCAAGUCGAGCGAACGGACGAGAAGCUUGCUUCUCUGAUGUUAGCGGCGGACGGGUGAGUAACACGUGGAUAACCUACCUAUAAGACUGGGAUAACUUCGGGAAACCGGAGCUAAUACCGGAUGAUAUUUUGAACCGCAUGGUUCAAAAGUGAAAGACGGUCUUGCUGUCACUUAUAGAUGGAUCCGCGCUGCAUUAGCUAGUUGGUAAGGUAACGGCUUACCAAGGCAACGAUGCAUAGCCGACCUGAGAGGGUAAUCGGCCACACUGGAACUGAGACACGGUCCAGACUCCUGCGGGAGGCAGCAGUAGGGAAUCUUCCGCAAUGGGCGAAAGCCUGACGGAGCAACGCCGCGUGAGUGAUGAAGGUCUUCGGAUCGUAAAACUCUGUUAUUAGGGAAGAACAUAUGUGUAAGUAACUGUGCACAUCUUGACGGUACCUAAUCAGAAAGCCACGGCUAACUACGUG